GCAAAGGCGUCGCGAGCUAGAGUUGUAGCCGGUUCGAGGUGAGUAAUGAUUGUAAAUGAUGUCCUGAUGGUUUGAAACCCCGGAUUGCACAUCGUUGUGCUGUAUUGAGGUAAGACACGUACUGGAUGAUGAGCGUGGGGUCUUUUACUACUGGGGAUUGUGACUUGGUCUGUCCCGACUGAUGAUUUUACCGUGUAUUUGAUUGAAACUUAUUUGUUAUCAUCAUGAUUUGGGCUGAUUGCCAUAUUUGGGCUUCGUGCCAACUAUUUGAACCCUUUGGGGAUUUUUUGACUGAUUUUCCUCACUCUACUUGUUAAAAAAAAUCAUAUCCUCAGUCAUGUUUCUAUCUGUUUUUAACGAUUUGAGCCGGUUUUAUCAUUCUAUUCCUAAAUGAGAGGAAUUUGUGGGCUGAUAUCCCUACCUUCUAUUAUUGUGCCCGAGAAGCUGUGAGGUUAAUGACUGAGAGGGGUUGAGAACCCAACAGUGAGGAUAUUAUAUAUGUUAUAGAUCGGGUUUCACGCCGCAGCAAUACUUAUAUGGAUCGGGCUGCACGCUGCAGCAAUAUAGUGCUUGGGCUGUAGGAGCCCCUCCGGAGUCUGCAUCAGCAAUGUACGAUUCGGGUUGCACGCCAUAGCGGUUAUCUCUGAUUUCUGUUAUUGUGAGAGAUAUAUGAGUCGAGUGCUAAGAAUGAGUACUAAGUGAUUGAUAUUGUGCCCGAGGAGCGGGUCUCUACUUGUUAUUUAUUUGCUAAACUACCUGUUUUACUUGAGUUAAAGAGAUUUCAUUUGACUUCUUCACUGAUUUACCGCUUUAAGUGAUUUUACUGCUUUGAUAUAGAAUUGCUUUGUGCCUUUACGUGUUUUCAUGCUUUCAGCCAUUAUUUAUAAUUAUUACUCACUGGGUCGAAGUACUCACAUUACUCCCUGCACCUUGCGUGCAGAUCCAGGUGUUUCAGAGGCUGAGUGAGAGUUUUCCCGUUGAUCAACAUUUGCCGGAGUUAUCGAAGUAGCUGCAUGUAAUCCGUAGACCCGAUUUCUCCUUCUAUCUUAUUACUUUCCACAUUCCUAGAUUAUUUAUGUAUUAGGUUGUUCAGACUUGUAUUAGAGGCUCUUGACUUGUGACACCGGAUCAAUGUGGGCUAGGUAGUGGUAUUAUCUUUGGACUUCCGCAUGUUUAACUUACUGUUUUAGACCUUUAUUAUGCUAAAUUGGUAUUUAAACUGUGUUAGCUGGUAAUGAAUUUAUAAGAAAAUGGGUUGUGGUUGAUAGUUGGUCAGGCUUGCCUAGCAAUGUGUUGGUCUGCCAUAAUCGUAUUUUU
rnacentral:lncRNA from 1 species